rnacentral:rRNA from 1 species
GAUGAACGCUGGCGGCGUGCCUAACACAUGCAAGUCGAGCGAUUUACUUCGGUAAAGAGCGGCGGACGGGUGAGUAACGCGUGGGUAACCUGCCUCAUACACAUGGAUAACAUACCGAAAGGUAUGCUAAUACAAGAUGAUAUAAGAGAUUCGCAUGGAUUUCUUAUCAAAGCUCCGGCGGUAUGAGAUGGACCCGCGUCUGAUUAGCUAGUUGGUAAGGUAACGGCUUACCAAGGCGACGAUCAGUAGCCGACCUGAGAGGGUGAUCGGCCACAUUGGAACUGAGCAACGGUCCAAACUCCUACGGGAGGCAGCAGUGGGGAAUAUUGCACAAUGGGCGAAAGCCUGAUGCAGCAACGCCGCGUGAGCGAUGAAGGCCUUCGGGUCGUAAAGCUCUGUCCUCAAGGAAGAUAAUGACGGUACUUGAGGAGGAAGCCCCGGCUAACUACGUGCCAGCAGCCGCAGUAAGAC